UGCGUAGGUGGCGCCGUAAGUGGGGUGUGAAAUCUCGGGGCUUAACUCCGAAACUGCAUUCCAUACUGCGGUGCUUGAGGACUGGAGAGGAGACUGGAAUUCAUGGUGUAGCAGUGAAAUGCGUAGAGAUCAUGAGGAAGACCAGUGGCGAAGGCGGGUCUCUGGACAGUUCCUGACACUGAGGCACGAAGCCAGGGGAGCAAACG
rnacentral:rRNA from 1 species